rnacentral:misc_RNA from 1 species
AACGCACAUUGCGCCCUUUGGUAUUCCGAAGGGCAUGCCUGUUCGAGCGUCAUUAUCACCCCUCAAGCCCCGUGCUUGGUGUUGGACGGCCGGUCGAGCGAUCGACCCCUCCCAAAGACAAUGACGGCGGCCUGCGGUUCCCCCGGUACACUGAGCUUUUCAUCGAGCACGUACCGGACAAGGGCACCCGGGACCCGGUCUUCUCCCUUCACCGGGAAAUUUUUUACGGUUGACCUCGGAUCAGGUAGGAAUACGCGCUGAACUUAA